UCAGAUGUCAAGCUCCCAUUUCUUCUUGGAGUCAUCUGUUUCAGUUUCCCUCACAGAUGUUAAUAGUUUUCUAUCUUGUGGUAUGUUGGUAGCAUUAGUCUAAAGGGAGGGUUAGCAAAUACUGGUGUAUGAUCAUCUUUAACAGUUUAUAGAAGGGCAAAAAAACAAAAUAAACAAAAAAGGUCAAUACACAAAAUUGGAAUUGUUUCAAAGGUUACAUUGCAAAAACUGGACAUUUAAAAACUGAGUCCUUGGAAAAAAGGUUGAGAAAUUGCUUCCACAAGACCAGUCUGUGGGCAUAUCUGUGUGGAAUUUUAGGGUUGCUGGUUAGUGUCAUUCCUGAGCAAAUGGGCCUGGACUGUGUGAGAAAGGUAGAUGGAGCAAACCAUGAGGAACAAGCCUGUAACCAUCGUUCCUCCUUGGUCUCUGUUUCAGUUCCUGCCUCCAGGUUCCUGCUUGAGUCCUUGGUUUGGAUUCCCUCAAAGAUGGACUGUCGAUAAAGCUGAAAUUAAACCAUCUCUCUCCAAGAUGGUUCUGGUCCAUGUUUUAUCCCAGAAACAGAAAGAAUAUUGGAAUAAGACUGAUAAGCAAUAG
rnacentral:lncRNA from 1 species